rnacentral:rRNA from 1 species
GUUGUUGAUGCACACACGACGCAUCGCUGUCUGCCUGACUCAUACAUGUCCGACCAGCGUAUCUGUAUGGGCGCUUGUCUCUUCAGGUUAACUCGAUUAUGGGUUAUGUUACAUGUGGUCAAUCUGCCUAUAUGAUUGGUAUACCUCUCCGGAGACUCGGAUAUACAUAUCACAUUCUCCCUUUACUCUCUUGAGGAAAGGUUCACAUAUUGGUCUCGAGCUCUCACUUAUUAAUAGGCCCGCGCCGCUCUUUCUUGUUGGUGAUGUCACGGCUCUACCAAGUGAAGAUGCUUAGUCGCACCUGAGAGGGAGAUCGGCCACUACUGUGACUGAGACACUGCCCAGACUCCUACUAGGAGGCACGCGUAGGGCAUCUUCCGCUAUGUGACUAGUGUACUGACCGACUAACGCCGCUUGAGUGCAUUAGGUUUCUUGAUCGUAAAACUCUGUUGUUAAGCUAAAACAACUACGAAAGUCCCCGCUCGUAACUUGACAGUACUUAACCACAUCGCUGCGGCUAUCUAUGAGCUACCAACCGCCGUAAUGUUUUCGUGGCCUGCGUUGUCCGGACUUAUUGGGCGUAAAGUGCGCGCACGCCGUUCAUUAAGUCUGAUGUGAAACCCCACCGCUCAACCCUGGACGGUACUCGGAUACUGGGGGACUUGCCUACCGAAGAUCACAGUGGACUUUCCCGUGUCGCGGAGAUAUCGCGUGAAUGUGAAGUACUCCUCUG